AAAGAACUUAAAUAACAAUCUCAAAAAGUUCUGCAAACAUAAUACACAACAGAGCACAGUCAGAACCAUGGCAAUGAAUUGAAAAUACCAGAAUCUCCCGGAAUCUAGAUCCAAACCUAAUUCACUAAACAAUGUCAAAUACAUCUAGAUUAGAUUAUACAAAAAGGUUGACCCUCCUCAACCAAGGAUGGUCCUCAACAUAAAGCUCCCUCGGAUUUAUUUCCGUAUUCACUUAGUAGCCAUACCCUGAGUUGUCCAUCGGGUUAACAGCAGGGGCAGGCUCGGGCUCCUUGAUAUCUACCACCACCACAUCUGAUGUGAGAAAUGUUCUUGCAACAGAUGCAGCAUGCUCCAAGCAGCAUCUCACCACCUUAGUGGGGUCAAUUAUUCCAGCAGCCAUUAAAUCCUCAUAAUUUCCAGUAGCAGCAUUGUAGCCAUACUUGGGAUUCUCAUUAGAAAGCACCUUGUCACUAACAACACUUCCAUUAACUCCAGCAUUCUUGGCAAUCAACUUCAGUGGGUAACUAAGAGCCCUCUUUACUAUAUCAGCACCCACCUUUUGUUCAUCGUUGUCGAGGGUUUCCUUAAUGGCAUCAACCUUGGAUGAAAGCCUCAAAAGAGUACAACCACCGCCAACAACAAUACCUUCCUCCACGGCAGCCUUUGUAGCAUUAAGAGCAUCCUCUACUCUCAAUUUCUUCUCUUUUAACUCAGUCUCUGUCUGUGCUCCAACCUGAAUCACAGCAACACCACCAGAGAGCUUUGACAGCCUUUCUUGUGCCUUCUCCUUGUCAAACAUUGCAGUACUCUUUUCCAUUGCUGUCCUCAGCUGCUCACAUCUUUCUUCAAUCAGCUUCUUAUCUCCACCACCAUGAAGAAUUAUUGUGUCAUCAAGAGAGACAGUAACCUUCUUAGCAGUACCAAGCAUUUCUAUUUGGACUUUAUCAAGAGUUAAACCAUGAUCCUCACUGAUAACCUCUCCACCAGUAAGAAUGGCAAGAUCAUCUAAAUUUGCUCGUCUGUUUUCCCCAAAACCAGGAGCUUUAAUGGCACAGACCUUAACUCCUGCAUGAUGCUUGUUGAGAAUAAGCAUAGCUAGAGAAUCACUGUCCACAUCCUCAGCCACAACUAGAAGUGGUUUGUUUUUUUUUACUGCCAGCUCUAAUAUUCUCACAAGUGAAUUCACGUCUGAAAUUUUCUUCUCAUAAAUGAGGAUCAAAGGAUUUUCAAGCUCCUGUAAACGUGCAAAGCAUAACUUUUUCUUUGAAAUAGUAAACUAAAUAAAAACAGAAUCCUAAAUCAAAAUGAAAGUGAAAGACAAGCACAAGAUACUAUUGGCAAACACAACACAUGCAAAGAAAAUGAGGGAGAAGGGGCAACAGAGAGGAGUUAUCAAGGAGAUAGACCAUGCCAAUCUCCAUGCAAUUCUACAAGUGACUGCAAUGCAUUACACAUGAAAACUCCAAAAGCCAGCAAAUUUUGGAACAUGAUAUAAUAGCAUAUCCCCCCAGACCAACCACCAUAAUAUCCCAAUAAGAUGAUAAUGGUCAUCCCUUAGUCUCUUCCUAAAACUAUCCCCAUUGCUUUUAUCCACCUGACAUAUUGUUUGGCUAUUGACAAUAGCACAAGCAACCCCAAACACUCCAUGGAACAAAAACAUGUGGAUAAUUUAAAAAUGAAAAAAAAAAUAGCAACUGCUUAUGGUGAAAUUUUCAUUUUAGCCCAAUAUACUGAAUAAUCUGUUGCAUGAAGACUGAAGUAGAUAUUGACAGUAGAAACCACACAGAUCUGAGCUUACACAUUUCUGGGUCUUCUGAUCAGUAAUAAAAUAAGGUGAAAUAUAACCUCUGGCAAGCUUCAUUCCUUCCACUACUUCCAACUCAUUUUCCAAAGUAUUCCCAUCAGCGACAGUAAUGACUCCUUCCUUUCCAACUUUCUCCAUUGCUCUAGCUAUCAAUUCUCCAAUCUCACACUCUCCAUUUGCAGAGAUGGUGGCAACCUAUUGACAGUACAUGCACUUGCCAAUAGUGAAGGAAAAGAUCCAACAAGCAUAACAAACUAUGUACACUACAUACCAACAGGUUUUAGAAACAGAAAUUAUCAUUUUACUUAUCAAGAGAAUAAUAACAAAAUUGAGGUGGAAACGGCUCAGGAUUUCCAGUAGGAAGCUUUGCUUAAUGCUUUGAACAAAAACAUAUGUUCAGAGCCAAAAAGAAUCCUUUCCAACAGUUAAGAAAACUAAAGAGCUUUCUUUUCAAGAUUGUCAACAAUACCCUAGUUGCAAAUCAAGCUCAUACGAUUAUAUCUUAGAUCAAAAUUCCCCAUGAAAGAUAAUAUAUGAAAAAUAUAGUUUCUUUAAGAAGCUGAAAUACCUGUGCAAUUUCUUCUGGUGUGCUUAUCAUUAGUGCUCUCUUUUUCAAGUCAGAGACAACAGAGUUCACUGCCAUAUUAAUUCCAGUGCGCAAAUCCAUAACAUUUACACCAGCAGCUAUAGACUUGCAGCCUUCUGUGAGUAUGGCUUGUGUCAGGACAGUUGCACAACUAGUACCAUCUCCUACAGCAGUGUUUGUUGCAUUAGCCACCUGCUUCACAAGGUCUGCACCAACAUUCUUGGCCUUUUCAUUGAAUUCGAUGCUUUUGGCAACAGUGACACCAUCCUUCGUCACCUUUGGGACUCCAUGACUUUUCUCGAUAAUAACAUUACGGCCCUAAAUAACUUGACGAGUUAAGAAAAUUACAAAGAAUUAAAAAUGUUUAUGGUGCUUGCAUUAUUGUUCUGAGGAGUCUAUACCAUGCAUGCCACAUCAAAAAUAAUUACAUAAAAUGGAAAUAGUUAUGAUAGAUGAGUCAACAAGGGAUCUACAAAAGAGAAAGCUUUAUAGUCUUUUCAUUAAGAAGCAUGGUAGACCUUCAGUUCCAGAACAAUGGACAGCCUCUCCUACUGCAUUAAACCUCUAGUCCCUGUCCAAGGAGGGCUUGAAUUUGGGAGCUUCAAGCUAGAACUCUUAAGUUCAAAUCACUAAGGUGUCCCCCUGUGGUCCCAUUGUGACUUUUACAGCUUCAGCUACCUCGUUGACACCCUGCAACAUAGCUGCACGAGCCCCAACCCCAAAAUUGAUAUCCUUUGCCACAUAACUUCUAUUGGAUAUAAUAAUACCACACACCUAGCCAGCACAAAAAAUUAACCACGAAAAGAAAAAUGUCAAGAUUAAUGAACAAGCUUGGAAAUCUCCCAACCCAAUUAAUUAAACGUUGAUCCUAUAACUGGACUUAGUUAAAGCCAGUUCAAUUUUACAUCAAAAACAUCAAACUAAAUAAAAACGAAAUAAAAUUACAGUCAUUUGCAGCUUAUAUGAAACAAAAGAAACAACCCAUGAAGAAAAAUGCAAUAAAUGAGCUAAAGAUGAGAGAGAUUCAUUGUUACUCGUUUCUUUGAAACAGAAGAGCUGUUAAUAAAAUAAAAUAAAAAAAAAGUACACACAAACAAAACAGAGAAAGAUGCGUUAGCCACUAUCGACAAAUUCAUGGGUGCGUGCGUGAGAGAGGUGUGAAUGGGGAAAGUAUAGAAGCGAGAGGAAAGAAGGAGUACCUAAUCGAUGAAGCUAAUCUUGAAACUAUUCUAUACAUAAUUGACGAUUACAGACAACGCAG
rnacentral:misc_RNA from 1 species